ensembl:rRNA 5S_rRNA 5S ribosomal RNA
UACAGAGGCCAUACCACCCUAAAUGUGCCCAAUCUCAUCUGAUCUUGGAAGUUAAGCAGGGUCUGGCCUGGUUAGUACUUGGAUGGGAGAUAUUUAGGAAAAAUCUGAAUGGGAUAUAUCUGAAA